rnacentral:rRNA from 1 species
UACGGAGGGUGCGAGCGUUAAUCGGAAUUACUGGGCGUAAAGCGCGCGUAGGCGGUUUGUUAAGUCAGCUGUGAAAGCCCCGGGCUCAACCUGGGGGCUGCGCUUGAUACUGAUGAGCUUGAAUGCGGGAGAGGAUAGUGGAAUUCCCAGUGUAGAGGUGAAAUUCGUAGAUAUUGGGAAGAACACCGGUGGCGAAGGCGGCUAUCUGGCCCGUAAUUGACGCUGAGGCGCGAAAGCGUGGGGAGCAAACAGG